rnacentral:lncRNA from 1 species
CACGCCCGCCACUGCCCCUCCGGCCAAGGCGUCGCCGUCAAGGUCUUCCCCAACCCCCGUCGUCCUGCUGGUUGCUCUGCCGACGGCGACUCCUUUAUCCGCGAGAUCUCCGCCCUCCGCCGGCUCCGACAUCCCCACAUCAUCCGCCUCCACGAGGUGCUGGCCUCCCGCUCCAAGGUGUACCUCGUCCUCGAGCUCGCCAAGGGCGGCGAGCUGUUCUCCCGCGUCGAGGACCGCGGUCACCUCCCGGAGGACCUCUGCCGCCGUCUGUUCCGCCAGCUCGUCUCCGCCGUCGCCUACUCCCACUCCCGCGGCGUCUUCCACCGGGACCUCAAGCCGGAGAACCUCCUCCUGGACGAGGCCGGCGACCUCAAGGUCUCGGACUUCGGGCUCGCCGCCCUCCGCUCCUCCUCCUCCUCCUCCGAAGGCGAUGACGGUGACCUCCUGCUGCACACCCAAUGCGGGACGCCAGCGUACGUGGCGCCGGAGGUCCUCACGAGGAAGAUGACGGGAGGGUACGACGGGGCGAAGGCGGACAUGUGGUCGUGCGGGGUGAUCCUCUUCGUGCUCAACGCCGGCUACCUCCCCUUCAACGACCCCAACCUCAUGUCCCUCUACCGAAAGAUCUACCGCGGCCAGCACCGCUGCCCCCGCUGGACUUCGCCCAAUCUCCGGCGCCUCAUCGCCCGCCUCCUCGACCCCAACCCCGCCACCCGCAUCUCCAUCGACGCCAUCCUGCGCGACCCCUGGUUCGCCAGGGACUUCGACGCGGACCAAUGGACGGCGCUGAUGCAGCCCCGCGGAGAUGCCACCGAUCCAUCGGGCAAGCCCCACCAUCGCAGGGAGCUCAACGCCUUCGAC